UCUUAUCAAAACGAUAAGGGUUUCCGACACGUGUCGGGAUUAAAAGGGAAUCGUGUGUAAAUCACGAGCUGACGCGCAACUGUAAGUUCGAUUCCGUUUUUGGAAUAGUACGUUUUUGCCCUACGCGCCAUUGUUCUAUUAAAAAAGAAUGAGAAGGCCGGCAAAGAUCGAACAAGCCAGGAUACCUGCCCAUAUCGUCCCUACUUU
rnacentral:ncRNA from 1 species